GGUAAAAUGGCUGAGGUUUAAAAGGUAGUAGAUUGUAAAUCUAUUAAGGAGAUAUAUUUCUCUUUUACCA
rnacentral:tRNA from 1 species